CCAGCACCCCGACGUGGUCGGGGACGGAUUAUUGGGCCGUAAAGACAUCCGUAGCCGGUUUUACUAAGUCCUCCGUUAAAUCCAACUGCUUAACAGAUGGGCCGCGGAGGAUACUAUAAGACUAGGAGGCAGGAGAGGCAAGCGGUACUCAGUGGGUAGGGGGUAAAAUACCGUUGAUCCAUUGAAGACCACCAGUGGCGAAGGCGGCUUGCCAGAAUGCGCUCGACGGUGAGGGAUGAAAGCUGGGGGAGCAAACCGGAUUAGAUACCCGGGUAGUCCCAGCUGUAAACGAUGCAGACUCGGUGAUGGACUAGCUUCAUGCUAGUCCAGUGCCGCAGGGAAGCCGUUAAGUCUGCCGCCUGGGUAGUACGGUCGCAAGACUG
rnacentral:rRNA from 1 species